GUAGAGAAAGGAGGCUUCAGACAAGAACUCUUUAAGAACCAGGUAAUCUCAUUUGUUUAGAUACAUUCUGUAUGUGAAAGUGGAGUCAGAGUCAAAGAAUCCACUGGCCCAACAAGUUCUUAAAAGGAAGGACAACAUGACUAAAGAGAAAGCAAACAAUGAAGACAUUCAGCAAACGGUGAUGGAGUAAAAUCUGAAACAUCUACAUGACAGGCAAGUCCAGAUGCCAAUGCAGCCCACUCUUACCAAUGAUGGAGAAACCUACUAAGCAGCAGAUACAGAAACUGGAGUCUCAGGAGAACUUCACAGAUGAGUAUGCAAUGGAUGAUUUCUCUCUUCCACCAUUAAGACCAUCAGGGAAGCCUUCAUCAACAGUCAAUAUGCAUGUGCAUCUCCCACCGGUGAAAGUAUCAGCCAGACAAGCACCAGCACCUCCAUCAACUAUGGCAACUGCUCCCUCCCAUCCAGUUAGAAAUCCAGGAAAACAUGCUUCAUAUUCUUUCCCAUGCCCAAAUCCUGUUAAUCUCCCUCCACUGAACUUUUCAUUCAAGAAGCUAGGAGGGAAAAGCAAUCCUCUCCCUCCGCUGAACACUGCAGUCAAACAGGCAGAAGCAAUCCA